CAUGCUUUAACAAUUCAAGCAACUUAUUUACAUUUUGACAGAACUCCAGCGGCAAAAAGAAGAUUCCUCCGAGAAAACUGCUAUCAGAAUAAGAUGCAACGAACAUAUUAAAGCACUGGGAAAUAUAUCAUUAUGUUCAGUAAAUAUCGCCAUCAACAAACCAAAAGAAGGCCACAACCAUAAGCAUGUGAGCUCGUUUGAUAAGGAAAAACUUACAUUUCUUCAGUCCUCGUCACUUUUGUGCUUGUGGUUACAUCCCAUAUUUUCACAGUACAAUCAGCAGAACCAGAUGCAAGCAGUGAACCUUCACAACUGAAAAGAAAAGCGAGAAUUGUUUGAAAUUAUAUCAGCAAUCCAACUAUCAUUAGUUUUGUUAGAACUAUUCACACAAACACCCAGUUCUCCAAGCACAUUCAGAAGCAACAAAGGAUUUGCACCUGAAAGCUAGUGUCCAUACACAUGAAUUGUGGCCCAUCAAAGGCGAAACACAGCGGCCACUUGAAAGGUCCCACAUCAUAAUUGUGCCAUCUUCAUCGGCAGAUGCCAUAUACCUACCAUCAGGUGACAUUGCCAGUGAUAAAAUCAUACUCCUAUGACCAAUGAAAAUCCUGACACACUCCCCACUCUGUACAUCCCACAGUCGAACUGUUUUGUCACUGGAACCAGUCGCAAUGUAGUUGCAGUUGGCAUGCCAUUGUACACACUGAAAUAGAUCAUCCAAUUCAAUGUCACUCAUUGUUCAGAACUAGAAAACACAUAAAGUAAUAAAUCUUUAUCAUCUCAUACCA